rnacentral:lncRNA from 1 species
CGCGCGCGCAUGUGUGUGUACUGGCUGCAUCCUGCAUAUCUCUGUUCGUGUCUUCAUCAGAUAUGUGUUGAGAUCAACUUGCGCUCUGACUCUUCUGGCUUUGCGCGACCCCGAAGCCCACCUGCGUCUGGAGAGUCUUUUUAAAAGCAGGGUGAGAGCGCGUCGCGUGAAGCGCACCUCUUCAAACGCCUCUAAAGCUCUUCACUUUUAUCGGGUUAUGCGCGUGGACACGUCGGGUUUUUGAGAACCGUACAGACUGCACUCGUCUUUUGUCGGAGUUACCAGAUCUUGGACUCUCACUCGGGCGGAUAGAGAGACGGAUCUCCACCGGGAUCUCCUCGCACCGCGACUGUACCUGGAGAAUCCGAUUGACUCAAAUAGAACACAGAGGAGAGUCCUGUGGAGUCUGUCCUUCUUUCCUCCCAGCGAGAGACAGCUGAGUUUAGACUCCGUUUAAACUCAUAUUAGCACAUCUUCCGUAACUCUGACCAGCAGCAUGUGGGACA